UUCUCUGCUCCUGGCAGGAUCGGUGGGUGGGCCCUGAGUCCAGGGCCACUCUCUCAGGAGGCGAGGAAAUUCUCGUUCAUUGGAAGGUGCCCACGCAUCUUUUCCUCCGGGAUCCGCCUUCACCCCCGCAGGCCAGGGCCGGUGAUUCCGGUGGGGCCGGGAGUGCGGGUGGGGGCGAGACGAGUCUGGAGGGGACUGAGCGCCCCCUCCCGGCCCUGGAGGGUCCGCGAGGGCCGGCGAAGCUGCCCCCGCCCCCAGCUCCCCUCCCCGGUUCACGUCCGGAGGGGGAGCGCCGCAGCCCGGCGUCCCCGCCGCGGGACCGGGUUCAGCAGGUGGGCGCUGGCGCUGGGGCGGCUCCGCGCGGCCGGGGUCGGAGGACCGGGGUCGGCCCCGCGGCUCCACCUGUUGCAGCGCGGAGUGCGCGGGCCGGCCGGGCGGGGCGCGCCGAGGACCCGGAGGGCGGUCUGGCCGGAGGGGUCACUGCUCGGGAGGCGGGACGCGCGCGCGGCGCCAGCGCCCCCGCACAGCGGGCUCUCGAGGCGGGGCCCGGGAGGUUUGCGGGCGCGCCUGUGGCCGGUCGGCCUCGGGUGGGGAUGGCGCUCCCUGAGCCGAGCCCUGUCGGGUCUCUCGAGCCCGCCGAGGCGGCCAAGGCCGGGCCCGGGAGCUGGAACUCUCCCGGGUCAUUGUCUGGCGGCCGCGCGCCCCUCCAAACCUCGGUCCUCCGCAGCCUCCAGGAUCCGGGGCUGGCGCGCGGCGCUCGCUUGCAGCGGGCGAGCCCGACACUUGGGCGCCCCCGGGCAGGGUCUGGAGGCCAAGGGCGCCCGAUGCGGACGCGGUGACGGGGGCUUCCUGCGGGAAGGGCCCCAUAGUCUCCUGGCCCCCUCGCCGCAGCCUCCCUUUCUGGUCUCCUCCUCCAGCCAACCCGGCCGCCGGCUGUCGCGCGGCGGUCGCAGGCGGAGAAGCGCGCUUGGCCCGACUUCUGUGAGGGUGCCUCCCCCGGGGACCGGCUCCACCCAGCCCCUGAGCCCCGGCCUCUGGCCGGUGACCCCAGAGGCCCGAGGCCCCCGCGACGCCGCGGCUGGGGCCCGGCUGCACCGCGGACCCAGCGGGGAAGCACUUGCAGCUCCAGCGGACCGAGGCCCCGCGUCCCAGCCGUCGGCGGCCCGAGAAGCGACUGUCGAGGCGCCGGGGAUCGCGGGAACCCGCUCCCCGUCAGCCCGCGAGGCCCGCAGACCCCGUCUCUGGGGGCGGGCCCGGGGCUUGUCCUGA
rnacentral:lncRNA from 1 species